AUUACAACAGCCUUGAUAGGUGCCAGCUGUACGUUGUGUCAGGUUUUCGUGGCCAGGCAAGACGGCAGCGCCACGCCAGUGGAGCUGCGAACAGGAGAGGGAGAGGUUGUGCUGCCUACCGCGAGGGGACGAAAUGAGACGAGGGCUGGCGGCGGAGGAACACACUGACGCUCACCAUGCACCACACACCACCCCGUCGUUGGUGCUGCCUUGCCGGCUGUCCAGAGUUGAGUAUUUUUGGUCUCAUCAGCAAUGCCCGUGGACUUUCGUUGGCUUUUCAUUGACUGGCAGGGUGUGUGGAGGGAGAGACUGAAUGUGAGCUCUUCUUGCAGUGCUUGAUGUGUGGGCAGUCUACGCUGUUAGUGCUGAACACAACAAAUGGCCAUCUUAUCACACUGCAGGAGGAUUGUCUGAUCUCUCCCUCGUAUUAACUAUGUAGCUUCCUCCCUAGAGAGGACCUACACACAAGACAAAAAACUAGGGUGUAUAACAGUAUACGGAUAAGUGAUUAAGAAAAGAUAAUUUAUUGUGUGUACCUCCUCUAUACGAGAGCGCAACAAUCGCAGUGGUUGUAGGGGAUUGAUUCUUCAGGGCGAGGUUUUGUGGCCUUCACGUGCACCGGAUUGUCUCCCUGUGCAUCUCGUGUCUGCUUCCAUCCUCGGAUGUCCAGCAAGUGUCCCCCCCCCUCCUCACGUCAGGGCCGAGGACACUUUUUGCUGGAGGUGUGCCGCCACGUAAACUAUAUAAAAUAUAAAUAAGCA